UUGCUUAUGUGAUGUAUUGUAUAUUUGUUUUGAAUAUGCAGCAUUGAAUAUUGCCAACUAAGCCACCCUGAGUCCCCUUCGGGGUGGGAGAGAGCAGGAUAGAAAUAUAUAUAGAAUAAAAAUGUUGUUUAACAUUUACAUGAAGCCACUGGGAGAGAUCAUCCGGAGUUUCAGGGUGAGGUGUCAUCUGUACGCAGAUGAUGUCCAGCUCUGUCACUCCUUCCCAACUGUCACUAAAGAGGCUGUUCAGGUCCUGAACCGGUGUCUGGCCGCUGUGUUUGACUGGAUGAGGCCGAACAAAUUGAAAUUGAAUCCAGACAAGACAGAGGUCCUCCUGGUCAGUCGUAAGGCUGAACAGGGAAUAGGGUUAGUGUUAUGAUUGAGCCUCAUGGCUCUGCUACUGGCAGACGUGGGCGUAAGACUCCUCGAGAGUCAGAUACUCUCGAGGAGCGAGAAAGAAAGAGGCUGCGAGAUAUCUUUGCAGAACCAUCUGACGAAGAGUCUUUUGAGGGGUUUACGGAGAGAAUGGAGGAAGAGCUGGUUAGCUCGGAAGAGGAUGAGAUGGAUUGGACUCGGGUAAGGGAGGAAUUGGGUGCCACUGGCAAUGAUGGGAUGGAAGAUGAUUGGGGACCUUCAGGACUAGACCCAUGGACAAGCUGGAGGGAUGGGACGGGAUCCACAGCUGGGGAUGCUGUGGGGCGUAGUCAGAGGUGUUCCAGUUCUGAUGAGGAAAGUGAUGAGGAAACGCCCGGGUUAAGGAGAACAGCUGAUAGUGAUGAGGACUUGUAACUGGCAUAAAAUGGGGUUUGGGAGCAAUAGCAAAUUGCGUUGGGCAAGGUAAUCUGGACAAACGCUUGGGAUCUGUGUGGGACGUUUUCCUGAAGACGGGUGUGUUUCGUGUGCUGAUUACCUUUGACCUUCCGUCGUCUUCUUGACGGACGCCAUCUGCUGCUCUGGAUUUACGGACUGAACUGACUACGGGCUCGGAUUCUCCUACCUGGACUUGGUGAACUACAAACGUCUGCUUCUGCCUAUCGACCUUCGGAAAGAACUGGGACUACUCUACUGCUUCAAUCCUCGGCUGUUGUGUUUGUAUUGGGAAUUUGCCUGCUGUGUGGAGGAGUGACUUCUAAGUUACUCAAAACAUAGUGCUGGCAGCAGAGAGGCAUCUGCUGCCAAUUAGUUACAUUCUUUUGAACUCUUUGUUCCCCAGCUUCUGUUUUGUUUAUUCCCAGGCUGAAGCAAGCUGUUUUGAUUUUACCCGGAUUAAACUCCGGUUUAAUCCGGUUUAUCUUUUGAACGUUUUUCUUGCCCCUUUUUGCUUUUUAAGGCUAAUGUUGCCUAGCCCUUGUCUUUUACGGGCAUUUUGAGUUCUGUAAAUCCAAUAAACUCUGUUAUCUUUGA